rnacentral:SRP_RNA from 1 species
GCCAGGUGCGGUGGCAUGUGCCUGUAGUCCCAGCUACUCAGGAGGCUGAGGUGGGAUGAUUGCUUAAGCCCAGGAGUUCUGGGCUGUAGUGCACUAUGCCGAUUGGGUGUCCACACAAAGUUCAGCAUCAGUAUGUGACCUCCUGGGAGUGGGAGACCAGCAGGUUGCCUAAGGAGGGGUGAACCGGCCCAGUUUGGAAAUGGAGCAGGUCAAAACCCCCCCGUGCUGAUCAGUAAUGGGAUCGUGCCUGUGAAUAGCCACUGCACUCCAGCCUGGGCUACAUAGCAAGAUCCCAUCUCU